CCUACGGGCGGAGCAGUGGGGAAUAUUGGACAAUGGGCGAAAGCCUGAUCCAGCCAUGCCGCGUGUGUGAAGAAGGCCUUCGGGUUGUAAAGCACUUUCAGUGGGGAAGAAAGCCUUGGGGCUAAUACCCUCGAGGAAGGACAUCACCCACAGAAGAAGCACCGGCUAACUCCGUGCCAGCAGCCGCGGUAAUACGGAGGGUGCGAGCGUUAAUCGGAAUUACUGGGCGUAAAGCGCGCGUAGGCGGUCUGAUAAGCCGGUUGUGAAAGCCCCGGGCUCAACCUGGGAACGGCAUCCGGAACUGUCAGGCUAGAGUGCAGGAGAGGAAGGUAGAAUUCCCGGUGUAGCGGUGAAAUGCGUAGAGAUCGGGAGGAAUACCAGUGGCGAAGGCGGCCUUCUGGACUGACACUGACGCUGAGGUGCGAAAGCGUGGGUAGCAAACAGGAUUAGAUACCCGAGUAGUC
rnacentral:rRNA from 1 species